UACGUAGGGGGCUAGCGUUGUCCGGAAUCAUUGGGCGUAAAGGGCAGGUAGGUGGUCCCAAAAGUCUACUGUGAAAUCCCCGGGCUUAACUCGGGAAGUGCGGUAGAUACUCUGGGACUAGAGUACUGGAGGGGUUCGUGGAAUUCCCGGUGUAGCGGUGAAAUGCGCAGAUAUCAGGAGGAACACCGGUGGCGAAGGCGGGUCUCUGGGCCGAUACUGACGCUGAGGAGCGAAAGCGUGGGGAGCGAACAGG
rnacentral:rRNA from 1 species